GAUGAACGCUGGCGGCGUGCCUAAUACAUGCAAGUCGAGCGAAGCGGGGAAGGGGGAGUAACACGUGGAUAACCUCCUAUAAGACUGGGAUAACUUCGGGAAACCGGAGCUAAAACGGAUAUUAAUAAUUGGAUCCACGUUGAAUUAGCUGGUUGGUAAGGUAACGGCUGACAAAGGCAACGAUGCAUAGCCGACCUGAGAGUGUGAUCGGCCACACUGGAACUGAGACACGGUCCAGACUCCUACGGGAGGCAGCAGUAGGUAAUCUUCCGCAAUGGGCGAAAGCCUGACGGAGCAACGCCGCGUGAGUGAUGAAGGUCUUCGGAUCGUAAAACUCUGUUAUUAGGGAAGCGGUACCUAAUCAGAAAGCCACGGCUAACUACGUGCCAGCAGCCGCGGUAAUUC
rnacentral:rRNA from 1 species